UGGAGCCAGGAUAUACCCCUUCCCAUAUCUCAUUUAAGGGUAAGAGUGAUCCAGCAAGAUCUUCUUGCUGGAGAUUUUUUAUACUUUAAGCCUUCUGAAGAUUCUGGCCACUGUGGAAACUUGUUUGUGUGCUAUGCUAUUCCCGUGGUUAAAUCCAACAUCCUUGUCUUCUUACUACCAGUACUUUGAUGCCUGUGCUGUAGCUGAAUGACUCCAAGGACUGCUGCUGGGGCUGUCCUUGCCAAGAGCAGAUGACGCCGCUGCCCAGGCUGCCUCCUCCAGGAACAGGCGUAACAGCAGUGUGAGGACUUUCAUGAUAAGAUGACAGCUGAGUGGGCACAUUGAGGAAAAUAAUUACAAACAUAGGCAUCUGAAGUGGGAUGGUGGUGAGAUUUAGCUGCUUUAAGUACUAGUGGAUCAUGUCCUGUCUUUUUCUGGCUGUACGCUUUGGAGAGUGACACUUCUGCAACUCAUAAAGGCUCCACGAGGAUAAAUGGGCUCGACAACUAUGCUCAUUGAGACUGGUAAUAAGAAAGGUGCACCUAAGAUACACAGAACAUUACGUUACUGAGUACAUUUGUCCUCUUCUAUUGACUAUGUCCUUAUCUAGCAUUUUUAACUUGUUUUCAUAAGAUAUGCAAGUAGCAUGUUUUAAAAACAAAAUUGAAUUUGCCGUUUUCUGAUUUUUUUGGUGUUUUCUUCUGUUCAGGGAUAGAGUAGAUACUGAAACUGUUGAGGAGAGUCAGUGCUGUUCUGCAAUGGCUAUGACUACCCAAAAACAGUGCUUUUUUUUCCCCCACACUUUUAUUCUGGGUCUAAAUGUGGAUUUAUAUGACAAAUUGCAAUGGCAUACUGCAAGCUGUUAUAGCCUGUUGGGUAAAUGAUUAACAUUUCAAAUUUAUUUAUAAUUUAAUUUCUAAAUACUUACUCAAAGGGCUAUAAUGGCUCUAUUCUAAUUUAUCUUAUAUUCAAUCCAAUUUUUAUAACAUUUAUUAAUUCCUUUUAUUCCUGAUUCUGAAGUAUAACAUGCCAAUUAAAAACAGAUUAAAAUGCCUAUUUACUGCAAACCGUUGCAUGCCAUCAAGUAAAUAAAACAUUGUAAAAAAA